AUCCGUUCCCGCUGAAGAAAACAAAUGUUAGUCUGUGUCUCCCUUUGGCAUUAAGUAUGAAACUAUCAAGACCAGACUGAUAAUAGAAUGAUUAAUAAGAAAGAAUGAUGAGAAAAUGUUGGAAUGAUGAGAAAAUGUUGGGUUCAAAGUAAUCUGUACACGAGUGUGAUACUAAGUCCAUGCUCUACAUUCAAAUGGACAAACCAAGACACGGACCAUAAAAAAUGCUGCAAGUGUGGCUGGCAGAAUUAAACAGCUAAUUCACAUUCAAUAACUACAAAACUCUUUUAGAUUUUAAAAAAAUAAUUAAAAAUAAAUAAAUAAACAAACA
rnacentral:misc_RNA from 1 species